GGAGGUUCUUGGGUGAUGCACCCCAGAAUUGGGCUCCCUCCUCUCUGGUUCUGAUGCAUCACCCAAGAACCGCA
rfam:Myotis lucifugus cont2.36389, whole genome shotgun sequence.